AACGCACAUUGCGCUCGCCAGUAUUCUGGCGAGCAUGCCUGUUCGAGCGUCAUUUCAACCAUCAAGCUCUGCUUGCGUUGGGGAUCCGCGGCUGCCCGCGGUCCCUCAAAAACAGUGGCGGGCUCGCUAGUCACACCGAGCGUAGUAACUAAAACCUCGCUAAGGCUGCUCUGCGGGCUCCGGCCGUAAAACCCCCUUCUAACACAAGGUUGACCUCGGAUCAGGUAGGAAUACCCGCUGAACUUAA
rnacentral:misc_RNA from 1 species